UAGAUCUACAAAAAAAAACAAAAACUAAAAAUUUAUACAUAAGAGUAAGCAAUCACUUCAGCGCAACUUUCAUGUGUCAAGGCCAGCGUGCUAACUACCAAUUACACGACGAAAGAUGUAAAUACAUUGAGCUAGUAGAUAGAUAAAAUUGCAACGACAUUUCUUCCAGAUAUUCAGGAUUGAUGGCAUUUACACCGUAUUUUGAUCGGGAUAAACCAGAUUAACAAGUUACAAAAACUCUUGUUUUAACAGCAUCACUAGCGUUCCCUGCUCGUUGGAAAUUUUAUUUUACGGAUAAACCUCGUACAAUAAGUGGUUUCCGAAACGAACACAUGUCAAAUAUGUCAAUUAAUUAUUACUUUGGCGCGUGAAAUUGAGUGUCAGCGAAACAGAGAACUAAUUCAUUAUCAGACUACCAACAUAGCGAGUUCAUGCUAGCGUUUACAAUUAGGUUAUGACGUGCGCAAUACAUCGAGGAAUUGUAGAUAGAUAGAAAUUGAUCUUCGUAUUCGUCAGCUUUCAGUUUUUGCGCACGAGUAAAGGACUCGAAGUAAAACGAAAUAAAACGAAUUCCUUGCAAAGUUGCACGAGCGUAUGGACUUCGAACUUUUUUUUUGGUGUUUUAUUUUUGAAUGUUUGUCAAUCUGGAUUCUGAAACUAAGUUGCAAUCAUGCAUCGAGAAAUAACCAAGAUUAUUGAAUGAACAACGUCAUUCUUGCAAAGGUGUUUGAUAUUGUUUGUUUAUUAGCUAUUUGCAUUUUUAUGCAUUUAAAAGUUAUUAAUUGUUGCGAAUUAUGCUGUCGUGUUUACUUACUCAAUAUGAGUAGACGAGUAAAGGCCUGCUGUGUACCAGGAUGCACGAAUAAGCAACUGAUAAGACAUUCCAUUCUUACGAAUGAAGACGUUUGCAGAAUUUGGUUGCAAAAAAUGAAUAAACCCAAGUUAAUGCUUGCAGAUACAGUAUUAUCAUCACAUAGAAUGUGUGAUAUUCAUUUUGAACCAAUUUGUACAAAACUUCAAUGACAGGUUAAAAUAACUUUCACUACCAACUCUACAUUUACCUGGUAAGUACUUAUAUUUACUGUGACAAUAAACCUCUUAUGAAUCCUAGUUAAAAGUGAUGUCCCAAUUUAUAAACCAUAGAAACUCAAAAUAUACAGGAUUAGAGCUUGUCGUUCCUGAUGUGGCAGGUUCAGUAGCGAAGAAAUGAUUUAAAAGUCUCAAAUGCCACUUGUGUAAAAAUAUAAUAUUGUCAAACGAAUUAAUUAAGACAAAUUCAUUAAUAUAUUCUAGGGAAUAUAAAAAAAAAUGUUUUAUGUGCACUUUCAGCAAAAUUCUGUGAUUUUUCUGAUAAAAUUUGAAAGAUUUUCUCAGUUAAUCAAUUCGUUAGGCAUAAAGAAACAAAUAUUUCGCUUGGAGGUUUUGACAGACAUUUCCUCAAUAUUUUGUUCAGAUCAUAAGGAUUAUGUAAAUAUGUUUAUAAAUAUUAGUUUUAAUAUAUGGAUCUUUCAUUACAUAGGUAUAAUUAAUAAAAUUUUGAAGGGCAAAGAUCAACAAUAUAAAGACUACGAUGUUGUGAUGAAUAUGGCAUAUAUUAAAUAUAGGGAAAGCUGCAAGAAAGACAACGGUAAUCAUUAAUUAACCAUGGUUAUAAAAUCAGUUUUUUAUAUACCAUUGUAUGUACCAUGUACAACCAGAAACACUUUUUAAACAUGCCAACAUUUCACUGUUGACAGUCCUAAGCCUGCUAAAGUGUGAAGGAAAAUUUUUUGUUUGUGGAUAUAGUUAUAAAAUGUCAAAAACAAAAUAAAAAUUUUAAUAAUCA